rnacentral:rRNA from 1 species
UACGUAGGGUGCAAGCGUUGUCCGGAAUUAUUGGGCGUAAAGAGCUCGUAGGCGGCUUGUCGCGUCGGCUGUGAAAACCUGGGGCUCAACCCCGGGCCUGCAGCCGAUACGGGCAAGCUAGAAUUCGGUAGGGGAGACUGGAAUUCCCGGUGUAGCGGUGAAAUGCGCAGAUAUCGGGAAGAACACCCGCGGCGAAGGCGGUUCUCUGGGACGGUACUGACGCUGAGACGCGAAAGCGUGGGGAGCGAACAGG